rnacentral:rRNA from 1 species
UACAGAGACUGCAAGCGUUAUUCGGAUUCACUGGGCGUAAAGGGUGCGCAGGCGGCCGUGUGUGUGAGGCGUGAAAGCCCGGGGCUUAACCCCGGAAUUGCACCUCAAACUACAUGGCUAGAGCAUUGGAGAGGGUAGCAGAAUUCAUGGUGUAGCAGUGAAAUGCGUAGAGAUCAUGAGGAAGACCAGUGGCGAAGGCGGGUCUCUGGACAGUUCCUGACACUGAGACACGAAGGCCAGGGGAGCAAACGGG